rnacentral:rRNA from 1 species
AUUGAACGCUGGCGGCAGGCCUAACACAUGCAAGUCGAGCGGAUGAAAGGAGCUUGCUCCUGGAUUCAGCGGCGGACGGGUGAGUAAUGCCUAGGAAUCUGCCUGGUAGUGGGGGAUAACGUCCGGAAACGGGCGCUAAUACCGCAUACGUCCUGAGGGAGAAAGUGGGGGAUCUUCGGACCUCACGCUAUCAGAUGAGCCUAGGUCGGAUUAGCUAGUUGGUGGGGUAAAGGCCUACCAAGGCGACGAUCCGUAACUGGUCUGAGAGGAUGAUCAGUCACACUGGAACUGAGGCACGGUCCAGACUCCUACGGGAGGCAGCAGUGGGGGAUAUUGGACAAUGGGCGAAAGCCUGAUCCAGCCAUGCCGCGUGUGUGAAGAAGGUCUUCGGAUUGUAAAGCACUUUAAGUUGGGAGGAAGGGCAGUAAGUUAAUACCUUGCUGUUUUGACGUUACCAACAGAAUAAGCACCGGCUAACUUCGUG